rnacentral:rRNA from 1 species
AGCGAACGCUGGCGGCAGGCCUAACACAUGCAAGUCGAACGAAGUCCUCGGACUUAGUGGCGGACGGGUGAGUAACACGUGGGAACGUGCCUUUAGGUUCGGAAUAACUCAGGGAAACUUGUGCUAAUACCGAAUGUGCCCUUCGGGGGAAAGAUUUAUCGCCUUUAGAGCGGCCCGCGUCUGAUUAGCUAGUUGGUGAGGUAAAGGCUCACCAAGGCGACGAUCAGUAGCUGGUCUGAGAGGAUGAUCAGCCACAUUGGGACUGAGACACGGCCCAAACUCCUACGGGAGGCAGCAGUGGGGAAUCUUGCGCAAUGGGCGAAAGCCUGACGCAGCCAUGCCGCGUGAAUGAUGAAGGUCUUAGGAUUGUAAAAUUCUUUCACCGGGGACGAUAAUGACGGUACCCGGAGAAGAAGCCCUGGCUAACUUCGUGCCAGCCGCCGCUGUAACAC